rnacentral:tRNA from 1 species
GGGCUGGGGCUCAGCGGUAGAGCACUCACCUUGCACGUGUGAAACUCUGGGUUCGAUCCUCAGCACCACA